rnacentral:rRNA from 1 species
CCUACGGGAGGCAGCAGUGGGGAAUAUUGGACAAUGGGGGCAACCCUGAUCCAGCCAUGCCGCGUGUGUGAAGAAGGCCCUCGGGUUGUAAAGCACUUUCAGUGAGGAAGAACGCCUGGUGGUUAAUACCAAUCAGGAAAGACAUCACUCACAGAAGAAGCACCGGCUAACUCCGUGCCAGCAGCCGCGGUAAUACGGAGGGUGCGAGCGUUAAUCGGAAUUACUGGGCGUAAAGCGCGCGUAGGUGGCUUGAUAAGCCGGUUGUGAAAGCCCCGGGCUCAACCUGGGAACGGCAUCCGGAACUGUCAAGCUAGAGUGCAGGAGAGGAAGGUAGAAUUCCCGGUGUAGCGGUGAAAUGCGUAGAGAUCGGGAGGAAUACCAGUGGCGAAGGCGGCCUUCUGGACUGACACUGACACUGAGGUGCGAAAGCGUGGGUAGCAAACAGGAUUAGAUACCCCGGUAGUC